GCUUUUUCGAACGCAUUCGUCACUUCACCUUCUUUUGUUCUACGCCUCCCCCUCAGUCAGCCAUUUCCAAACUUUAGCAUUCGUCACAUUGCAGGCCUUUGCAGUUCUACGCCUUCACUCCGGUGAUCUCCCCAGUGCUGUGCCUUCAGGCCUCUCGGUUCGGCAGUUCGCACUCUUUGCAGGCCGCAGGGACAGCUCCUCAGCCCCUAAUUGAAGUCAGCAGCAGGUCUCCUGUCUUCGUUGCGACUCAUCUGCAGCGGGCAGCUACUCUUUUUUAUCGGCAGCGACGACGACAUUAGUUGAUUCUAGGUUUUUCAGUGUAUGGAUAUUAUUCUCUGCUCCCAUGGAUGCAGAUGGCUGGAUGAACACAAGAUGAGGGGGAAAAAAAGGUGAUUGGAUGAAGAACAAGGCACGAAUUUUUGAGAUUAAAUUGGAGCUAACCGGGCGAUUGACUAAAUGAUGAAACACAAGCCCCUUCAUGAAGAUUAAAUACUUUAUGUUUUUAUGAUUUUUUUUUGUGUAUGGCAAUAGUGCAUUGGUUAAAUAUUUAUAGA